rnacentral:rRNA from 1 species
CCCUACGGGGCGCAGCAGUUAGGAAUAUUCGUCAAUGGGGGAAACCCUGAACGAGCAAUGCCGCGUGAGUGAUGAAGGCCCUAUGGGUUGUAAAACUCUGUUGUUGAGAAAGAAUUGUAAGAUUAGGAAAUGAGUCUUACUUGACGGUACUCUUCAAGAAAGCCACGGCUAACUACGUGCCAGCAGCCGCGGUAAUACGUAGGUGGCGAGCGUUAUCCGGAUUUAUUGGGCGUAAAGCGUGCGUAGGCGGCCUGCUAAGUCUGGAGUGAAAGGUACCGGCUCAACCGGUACAGGCUCUGGAAACU